rnacentral:rRNA from 1 species
CAGGAUUCCCCUAGUAACUGCGAGUGAAGCGGGAAGAGCUCAAAUUUGAAAUCUGGCAGUUCUUGCAGCUGUCCGAGUUGUAAUUUAGAGAAGUGUUACCCGCGCUGGACCGUAUAUAAGUCCUUUGGAAUGAGGCGUCAUAGAGGGUGAGAAUCCCGUCUUUGAUACGGACUACCAGUGCUUUUGUGGUAUGCUCUCAAAGAGUCGAGUUGUUUGGGAAUGCAGCUCAAAAUGGGUGGUAAAUUCCAUCUAAAGCUAAAUAUAGGCGAGAGACCGAUAGCGAACAAGUACCGUGAGGGAAAGAUGAAAAGAACUUUGGAAAGAGAGUUAAACAGUACGUGAAAUUGCUGAAAGGGAAACGCUUGAAGUCAGUCGCAUUGGUUGAGAAUCAGCCUUGCUUUUGCUUGGUGUAUUUCUUAGCUGAUGGGUCAGCAUCAGUUUCGACUGUUGGAUAAAGUUCGAGGGAAUGUGGCAUCUUCGGAUGUGUUAUAGCCUUUGUUCGUAUACAGCAGGUUGGGACUGAGGAAUUCAGCACGCCGAAAGGCCGGGUUUUUAACCACGUACGUGCCUUAGGAUGCUGGCAUAAUGGCUUUAAUCGGACCCGGUCUUGAAAACACGGACCAAGGAGUCUAACAUGCCCUGCGAGUGUUUGGGUGGAAAACCCGGAGCGCGUAAUGAAAGUGAAAGUUGA